UACGUAGGGUCCGAGCGUUAAUCGGAAUUACUGGGCGUAAAGCGUGCGCAGGCGGUUCGCAAAGACAGGUGUGAAAUCCCCGGGCUUAACCUGGGAACUGCGUUUGUAACUAGCGGGCUAGAGUGCGGCAGAGGGGGGGUGGAAUUCCACGUGUAGCAGUGAAAUGACGUAGAUAUGUGGAGGAACACCGAUGGCGCAAGGCAGCCCCCUGGGAGUAG
rnacentral:rRNA from 1 species